rnacentral:lncRNA from 1 species
UAUAUAUCCAGCGUGUAAAGCAAACGGUUUCUGUAAUGGACUAAUUUGCUUACAUGCAGGUGGUGGAACGCUAGGGUUUUCGACUGAAAAAUAAAUGUCGAUAUGCCCUCAGAACUAAGCUGUAAUGGAGGAAGCCUCCCCGCCAUUGCAGGCCCUGUUCUCAUGCCGGAUAUAGUCAUUGCGCGAGAGCCGGAACCAAUAGGCGCGAGCCCCGAUUGAAUAUAUCCCGCGGGUCUCCUAUAGUUGUAAACAAAACAACAAAAACUAAACAAAAUAUUUUCUCGCGCAGGCUUUGCGCGAUUUUAUUUUGCGUUUGAAACGUACGAAAUACAAUAAAUAUAUAUGCAAUCUUCUUCGCGCCGCGCGCUACAUGGCGCUAGUUGAUGGCAUGUCUUCCUCCUGCAAACAGAAAGAGAUAAUGUUAGCAAAGCGUGGCCUGGCCUGCAUCGCUGCUGGCUCCGUGUACAUCCGUCCGUACUUACCGUGGGUGCGGCCGAGGCACUUCCGCAGUGCCGAAUAAUGAUACUCGGCGCGUUAGCAGGUGGUGGUGUCUCCACAUCUAUACUUUUUAGCUGUAGGCCGGUCUUGCCGGGUCCGGGGUAUACCUCUGCUGCGUCCAUCAUAAAUUGCAAGAGCUUUUGUCCGCUGCGAGGCAUACCCCGGAACCGUCGUUCUCGGUAUGUGUACUCCGCAAUAUAUUGGCCCAACGAUUCGUCGUCCCUCGCAGUUUUGAUGGUGUCCUACAAAAGGAAGAAAACCAGGUUGAGUUAGGUUUGUGGGCUGGAGUCCCCGGGCCGCAGCUUGGCAACGGGCGCCAGCCCUGCCGUGUUACAAUCAUACCUUCAAGUGCCGAUUUCUCGUCUCGAUGUUCUGUGUGUGCACUUGAGGAUCGAGGGUCGACACGAAUCUGAAAUACAGCAAUGCAAUGUUAUUUCCGUCCUUGAGGUCCUUGAAUUGAGGGGCCUGGCAAAUGCUGAGACCUCAAAUGACGUUCCACACACCUACCUUCCCGGACCCCGCACACUGUGGUUGACAGUUUUGUGUGCGGCGAAACCUAGUUGCUCGCAACCAAUAUAUUGCGGAGCACAGUCGCUGAUAAUAGUGCUCCC